AUUGAACGCUGGCGGCAUGCUUUACACAUGCAAGUCGAACGGCAGCGCGGGCUUCGGCCUGGCGGCGAGUGGCGAACGGGUGAGUAAUGCAUCGGAACGUGCCCAGUAGUGGGGGAUAGCCCGGCGAAAGCCGGAUUAAUACCGCAUACGACCUGAGGGUGAAAGCGGGGGACCGAAAGGCCUCGCGCUAUUGGAGCGGCCGAUGUCGGAUUAGCUAGUUGGUGGGGUAAAGGCUUACCAAGGCGACGAUCCGUAGCUGGUCUGAGAGGACGACCAGCCACACUGGGACUGAGACCCCGCCCAGAGUCCUACGGGAGGCAGCAGUGGGGAAUUUUGGACAAUGGGGGCAACCCUGAUCCAGCCAUGCCGCGGGCGGGAAGAAGGCCUUCGGGUUGGAAACCGCUUUUGUUCGGGGAGAAAUCCUCCGGGCUAAUACCCCGGGGGGAUGACGGUACCGGAAGAAUAAGCACCGGCUAACUACGUG
rnacentral:rRNA from 1 species